UAAUGCCAAAAUACCUCUCCAUGAAUAGCACAUUUUCUUUAAACUAGACAUUUUUACCCCAUUCAGAGCUGUCUGGGGAGAGAAUACACUUCUCAUAGAUUAUAAUUUCUGGAAUCUUGAGAAGCUAGCUUUGUACUUCUGUGGACGUGUUUGCAGAUUUUCUAUGGAAUUCUUGGUAUCUUUCUCUCCUGAUUGGAGGUCAGGCAUUGCAAGAUUUUCACCCUUGAGGCAUGUUGGAAGGACAGUGUGAAGAGACUUGUACUGCCACUGGCCAUGAUGAAGAAAAGGAAGAAUGGUCCAGUUUUUAUGGUGUUAACCUGGACUCCCUGCUCCACCACUGACUUCCUGUGUGACCCUGUACAAGUCACUCAGUCUCUCCUUUCUGUGCUUCAGUUCCCUGCCAUACGUAUAAUAGCACAUCCCCACCGUGCUGGCCUAUUGUGGGGAUAAAAGCAUUAAAGACUGUGAGAUAAUCAGAGGCUCCAGUAGCAAGGGCCAUAUAAGUGCCAUUGAGGUAUGUGCCAAGGGCUAACAGUGACAGCUGGAAAGGAGGUGAAAGCCAUCAAUGAAGUCCCUGUACCAGCAUCUCAGAAAGUGGCUGUAUUUCCAAAUUUGUAGUUUGAAGAUUUUAAUCUUAACUGACAGAAUAAUUCAUAUUAAAAACAUUAUCUCAGCUAGGUUGACUUGUUCUGCACUGAAAUUGGCAAAUUAAUUCUCUAAUGGCCUUAGAACAUAUAGCUGUUAUGCUUGUGCUUAUAGAACCAGUGUGCUAUGCUAGUGGGAAAGAAUGCCACCAAUGAAUAUGAUAAGUAUCAAUGACACAACAAUCUAACUUUCUUCCUAAGUGAUUAUUCUUAACAUGUAAAUAAUGAAAUAGAGUCUCAGCUGGUAUAAAUGGGCACAUCACUGUUUACUGGCUCAAAAUGCUGAAAACACUUGAUUUUGGUGACACCGGUGAGAAUUCAUUCACUUUGGGUGGAAUUUUAAAUAUCUACACAGAUCUUUUGCCUAGCAGCAGUGAUACAGGCUAAUAGAAUGUUUCAUCCAGAAAAUUCUCAAUUAGAGUGAUUGUGUAUACAUAGGUGCUGGAACUAGAGGUGCUUGGGGUGUUACUGCACCCCCUGGCUUGAAGUGGGUUCCAUCAUAUACAGGGUUUACAGUUUGGUUCAUUGGCUUCCAGCACCCCCACUACCACCACCAGAGCCUUUAUGUUUUGAGCUGCAUGUUAUAAAACUCACUAUCACUGAAUCUAAUAUGAGGAAAUUAGGAGAGCUAAAGAGGCAGUAUAGCCUAAUGGAUAGAGCCCUGGUUGGGACUCAGGACACUGGAAUUCUAUUCUCAGCUUGGCCAAUGGCCUGAUGGGUAACUGUGGGCAAAUCACGUCACCUCCCUUUGCCUCAAUUUCCCAAUCUGUAAAAUGGGGAUAAUAAUAUUUACCUCCUUUAUAAAGCACUAGUGUAAGACAUAGGAGGUAUUAUUAUUAUUCCAGGUUGUCCCACAGACUUGCUUUGUGAAUAUAGAUAAGUCACAUAAAUAAAAAUUUGAAAACCUGGAUGUCCAAAGUUAAGUCAUUAGGGCAUGAAUUUCAGAGCCGUGGAGCACCUAUAUUUCCUAAUAAAAUCAGUAGGAUUUUGAGGAAGAUCGGCGUCUCUGAAAAUUAGACCGCUUUUAGACAACUGCCCAAGUAUGGCAGCUAGGGUUUCCAAUUUUGGUUGGCUGUAAUCCUGGAGAUUUCAUCACAUGACAUAAUCUUUAAUUAAAGAUGAAUCUUUAAUUCCUGGAGACUCCAGGCCAAUCCUGGAAGGUUGGCAACCCUAAAUUGGCAGAUACAUUUGAAAAUGCUGGCCUUAAUCUCUCCGUAUCUCACCCUCCCCAUUUGAAACAUGAGGAUAAUGAUGAUCUGGUGCGGUUUACUUCAUUAAUCUCUAAAAUUCUUCUACCUGAUUAUUAACUAUUACAGCUCCUGUUGGUAUCUCCUUCCAACUGAAAUCAGUUUGCUACUUUUACACAUGUAUUCUCCCAAGUUUCUCACAUUUCUGUUGGGCAUUUGGAUAUAUUUUUGAAUAUAAACCCUUGUCUGCCUCUACUUUAUCUAAAUAAUUCUUCAACUGCCCAUCACCUGAAUUUUUACUUUGGUGCUUUCCUGAUUCAGAUCCAACUCUAACAUCACGACAUUGGCUCAUCUCUAGACUAUAUGGGAUGUGGGAGAUGCAAGCUUUCCUUAGCCCUUGAUGCUGAAUAUUUAUCUAAAUAUCUUUAUAUUAAUUUUCACAAACAUUUUUUUUUAAAUCAAGAAAGUGAACACUCAUGAUGCCUCUGCUUUCAAAAGCCCGUGCUGUUUGCAUUUUCAGGCAUGUUGUUGAGUCAUGUUGAUUGAGAAUGAAUGAAAAAACAGAGCCAGCCUAUUAGCUGACUUAGUUGGUUGCUAUUCACAUUAAUGGAAAUGCCUCGGUACAUGCCCAUUAAGAAUGAUCAGAAGGUGAAAAAUGUUUCCUCUGCUUCUCAUCUCUGGCAAUUUGAAAAAUGAAAUGUCCACAGACUGGUGUUUUAGCCUUCACAGUCUCCAAAUGAAAAUGCUCUCGUGCAAGGGAGAAAGUUCUAUCUGGAACACACUCAGGAAUCUGACCAUCACACUCCAUGGUAGGUUCAGAUGGAGCCCUUCUUAACAGGUGCCCUGGCAUGGAUAAUAUUUAUCACUGACAGCAGCAGCUACAUUCCUACUGCUACAAACAGCAGAUAGCUUCCUGACAUUGCACCAAGGCAACAAAGGAAAUACAGGAGGGCACAUAGCUGGUUUUCUAAAGAUCUGGUUUGUUUUGUGUUUUCUGCAUAAUUUGUUUAUUUAAAGCAGCUGGCAUCAUGUGACUUUAUGGAUACAAGACAAAAAUAUUGCUAAAAUUUAUAUUACUGUUAUGCCUGAAGGUCCCACCUAAGCAAGACCCAUUGUGCAAGGUGUCACAGUAAACACUCCUCAGGCAGACAAAAGUACCAUCAUUAUCCCCAGUCUUCAUAUGUGUAACAGAGGUACAAAGCAGUUAAGUGACUUGCCCAAGAUCACACAGGAAUAGCCAGGGACUGAAUCCAGAUUUCCUGAGUUCCAGCCCACUGCCUUAAUCACCAGAUAAGUCUUCCAUCCUUGGAAAGCAUUUGAAUUUAUGAAACCACUUGUCCUGAUUUACUGGGAAAGCCUUGCAGAAUGACUCUCCCCACUACAAAGAAUUGAAAUCCUGACAAAGAAAGACAACAGGCCUUUGUUAGACUGAACACACACAUCAAGGCGCUGCUGCAAUAGAAAUGCUUUUAAAAAAAAUGAAGCACAAGGUUGGGGUUUUGUAGCACAUGUUUCAGCUUUGCUGCAGUGAAAAUGAAUGGUGGCGAAG